rnacentral:rRNA from 1 species
UACGGAGGGUGCAAGCGUUAUCCGGAUUCACUGGGUUUAAAGGGUGCGUAGGCGGGUUUGUAAGUCAGUGGUGAAAUCCCGAAGCUUAACUUCGGAACUGCCGUUGAUACUACAGGUCUUGAAUACUCGGGAGGUGAGCGGAAUAUGUCAUGUAGCGGUGAAAUGCUUAGAUAUGACAUAGAACACCGAUUGCGAAGGCAGCUCACUAAACAGGCAUUGACGCUGAGGCACGAAAGCGUGGGGAUCAAACAGG